GGGUCACAAAGAGUGGGACACAAAUGAGCGACUUCACCUUCAUUUUAAGAAAACAAUUGGUACUGCUUUUGGUGAGUUUGGCAUGGCCAGGCUCAUGCCAUGUGCUUCCAGUGGAUUCUUCACUUAGGCCUCCCUACAACCUCGUGAGGUGAGUCUGCUCUUCUUCCCAUUUACGGACAAGGACAAAGCACAGAUCCCCCAAAUCGGCAGAAUGACACUCUGCAAACAGAGAGGGCUGCAAGGUGCCACCAGGUGACGUGCCCACAACGUCCACUUGUGCUGGGCAGAAAGACGGACCACUGAGGGGAAAGAGAGACAACUCGGCGCCAAGUCCUGCAUGGAUUAACAAGCCAGUGAUUGCCGAGGCUGUGAGGCAGUUCCUGUGAUAAUCAUUAGCAUCUAGAUUCCAGAACCACGGGGAUCACCGAAGACAGCUGCCUGGCGAAGGGCCUCCCUGGUUUCCCUGAGAAUGCCCUUGCUCUGCACCCGGAGAAACCCACAGGUGCCCCACGGAGCAGCAGCACCCUCUGCACCGGGCCCUGUGGGCACCGCUUUCUCCCAAGGGAAAAAUCUCGCAGUUCCUAUGUGGUGGGAACUCCGCGUCUACAGAGCAGCUUCUGGCAGGAAAGCCCAUGGCAGAGUCCAGCAAGGGGCUACCAAGCCCUGGAGCGCUGCCUCCUGCUUGGCGGGGCUCAGAGGGGGGAUGGAGACCUUCUCAGGCACCAGCAAAUCCGCAGUGUCGGUAGCGGCCGCCGUUCUUCUCACCCGGAGGGAGCCCGGCCGGGUCCACUGGGCUCCCUGCCCAAGCCCUGUGGGCAGUCAGGCAGACACUUUACCAUCUGAGCCACCAGCAUGUGAAAAGCCACCACCACACAGUAAAUAAAAUGGCAGAAAAAAAAACCCAGAUCUGAGUGGGAAGCCCCAGCUCCUUCCACUAUAUCACACUGGCUCCCGCUGAGCUGAAACCACACCUGCAGCCCUUCAUCCUGACGAGGUUCCUGGGGUACCUCAAGCAAAGACAGCAUUAGAC
ensembl:lncRNA